AUUAAAAUAGCUUAAUAAAAAAAGCUUGGCGCUGAAAAUGCCAGAUUAAAGGUUAAAACCCUUUUUUUAAUA
rnacentral:tRNA from 1 species